AGGAAACAUCCAUGUCUGAUUAGCAUGAAGGUUAUGAGGAGAACGUGAUCACAGCCAAGGUAGUCUUCUCAAAAAGCGCAACUAGAUUCAUCAGCUUUUGGAGCACCUUCUUGUGGGCACAUACUCUGCUAUGUAUUGAGAAUAUCAUGUUGAAUAAGGUCUGGUCCCUGAAUGCAAAAAGGGUCCAAAAAGGGAUAACACACACCAUCAAUAUUUUCUAUGCUUAGAAUUCCAUAAAGACAAAAAUUUAAAAUAUAUGGCUUCAACUAUUAGAAAUAGUUCCCUAUCUCACUUACUUUUAUAUAUUUUUUUGCAGUAUUUUAUGUAAUAUUUUCUGCAUAAUUUUGACCAAGUUUUAAAACCAUAAAAAUAGCUGGAUAAAAUGUGUGCCCUUAUCACUGAUUGUCAAUCUAUAUCAGUUACAAUUUUUUCUUAUUGUUCUUCACUCCAGUGUGAAGAGUUAAGUUGAAAUAUCUCUCAAUCCCCUGAGAUUUCUGAUUCAUAUAUGUGGCUCUGAAAUACUGUGAUAACUUUACACCAGCAGAGCGUCCAAUGCUAUUGCAGAUGGUUUUCACUUAUGAACUACUGUAUGCAACAUGCCUUAUUCAUAACCUCUCCAUUAACAUGGAAAAUGAGUAGAUAGGUGACAUUAUCUGACCUUACAGCAUUUCUGGUCAAUAUUAGGCCAGUAUUAUUUUCUGACUUUCCUUAAUUUUUUCAAAAUUUAUGACAAAC